ensembl:lncRNA
AGUCAGGCUGGGUUGGGGGAGGGGCCGGGCUGAGGCGGCGGCGGCGGCGGCGGCGGCUCGCUCGGGGCGGGUAAGGGCGGGACUGGCCCGCUGCGGGCGGACUGGGGAGCCGCUCAGCUAACGGGUCCGGACGCCGACCGAGGCGGCGGCUUUCUCUGCACUGGCGGCGGCGGCGGGAGCGGCGAGCAUGGCCCGCGCGGCGCCCGGAGCUGACUGAGGAAACCUGUAAUUGGCCUUUGAGUUGUCUGCCCACAAAGCCUGGUGAAUUUAUUGAGUCUGGAACUCUGCCAGCUGUUGUGGAGGAGAGGAUGACCAAGUCUCUGUCCACCGGGAGGAGGAUGGAGGCUUUUUCCAAUAGGAAUGGCAUCGUCACGGGAGGAGCUCCCCGCCGCACCCCCCGUGCCCUGGCUGCCCAUCCAUGGAAGUCCUGCAUCCCCUGGACUGCAAGAGCAGACACAGGCGGCUCAUGGCAAGUGGUCCCUUCCUCGUGGUGGCCCAGGAACAUCUGCAUGGUGGAUGGUGUUACGCAGGCCUCUGUCUGGGCUGUGGGGGUCGUUCACUCUGCGUGUUCAGCCAGCUCCCUUGGCCCGACUAGGCCUGCCUGUGCCCUGGAGAGGCCCCAUCCUCUCCCGCCUGCCCUGUCACCUUGGCUUCUGAAGUGCCCACCCUCCUGUGUGUUUCCUGCUGAGACCCCGGUGAGGACGUAGCUCCAGGGCCACGGCGCUUCCUGGGGUGAGUGGGGUACUUCCUGCUGGACAGGGUCGUGCCCCACUCUGUCUUCCCCCUUAGAAGAUGAUGCUCAGGACAGCAGUGCCGGUUUCAGGUACAGAGACAACUUUGGCCUCAGUUUGCCCGUCACUUCCAAUUUGUGGGGGUACGGAGGUUUGACUCAGCCUAGCAGCGCCAAGAGUGGCGUGUUGUGGAAAGAACUCUGUGGGGAUUCCCUGGCGCUCCAGUGGUUAGGACGCCACAGGUUUCGCUGCUGAGGGCCCAAAUGCAAUCCCUGAUGGGGAACUGAGAUCCUGCAAGCCGUGUGCUAUGGCCAAAAACAAAGCAAACAAAAGCCCACAGGGUGAGACCACCACAAACCCAGCAGAAUGGCUAGUCUCCUGAGCUGUCUGCUGACCCAGCCUGGCCAGCGCGCUGUAUCUGCCCCACAUGCCUAGCUCCCACAGGUGCUCUGGCCCACCUGUUUCUGCCUGGGGUCCUGUUCUCAGAGAUCGGCCAGCCUGGGCCAGGCCUCCUGCUCCACAGUGUCUGCGCUCAUCCCUGCCUCCUCCUCUCUGUGAUGCUGAAACCCAGCGGUACCUCGGGUAGGUAGUGCCUUGCAGCUUACAGUCAUCACUCACUGCAUCUUGACGGUGACUGUGAGGUAAGCAGGGCAGCAGGCGUCGUCAUGCCCAUUUCACAGAUGGAGGACCUGAGGACCAGAAAGGUGUGAUUUGCCCAGAUUCACCAACUUUCAGAUAGAGCCAGUCCUGGAACUGAAGUCCAGAGUCCACUGGACUAAACUCACAAACGUGUUGAAGUGGGGCUGCCUCCUCUCACCAGGCGAGGGGCUUGGGAGGAGGCCCUGGGCCCGCCCUCUUCACAGCCCCAGUCACCCUAUGACCCAAGCUCCAGACAGGCACCAUCGUGUUGGCCAGCCCUUGGGAACCCCAGGGCAGGUAAUUAAGCCAGUCGAGAGGUAUCC